rnacentral:misc_RNA from 1 species
GGGCAAUUCUAGAUAAUAAUUGUGUUUUUUUCCCCUCAGUUAUUUUCAUAUUCUUAUAGCAUAGAGAAAAUGCAAUUAUUGAUACAUCAAAAGAUGACCAUCAUGCAAUCUACAUUUUCUAUUUAGAAAGCCAAAUUUGACUUUCAUAUUUGGUUAAUAAAAGAACAAUUAAAUAGCUACGCUUUAAUUAUAUUUAUAUUAAUAAUAUAUAAGUUGAAAUCUAGGUGCCCUUCUUUGAAAUUUUGUGUCAUGCCAAAAGAAUGUGGGGUGUGGGGUCUGAAAUGAGUCAAGUACACGGUCUCCUAGCUAUUUAUCCAUCUAAUCAAGUGGGGUUUCCAUAUAAUGGCUAUUUUGUUCUUAUCUUCUUUCAAUUUAAGUAUUCAUUAUGGGACCAUACACUAAUUGACCUAAUUUAACAUUUUGUAUAUGCAGUUUAUGGUAUUUGCU